CUCAACCCUUUUCAGGUACUCUCCUCCGUCUCCACCGCUUCCUCCGCCAUGAUCUGAAUCACUCCGUGACGAACAAAAAUCGAUGACGAGUCCGAUGA